UGAAGUGGGGAAAUGUUCCAUGUGAACAUCACUUGGACAUGUCUAGUUAGUCGAUCCUAAGAUAUGGGGAAUCCUUGUAUCAAGGGUGCACUCUGCAUGAAAAUUGAAAGAGAAUUGGAUUAAUAUUCGCGAACUGGGACAUGGUGGUGGACGUCAAUGUUAGGAAAUAUGGAGAUGUCAUCGGGGGGCCUGUGAAGAGUUAUCAUUUUAUUUUAAUGAAUUUCCCACCCUAAAAUUGGUUCAACUAGAGAUAAGGUCCAACAUAUGAAAGAGCACCACAUGUCUUGCGAUGUUUGGUGCCCCCUCAAUGACCAUUGUAAAUAUGGUGAACCGAUUACCAUCCAUGCCCGAUCGUACUCAUAUCUGCCUCCUUGGAUUUUUCAAUGUCCACUA
rnacentral:ncRNA from 1 species